GAAAUGGAUAGGAUCCUUAGAUGCCUUAUCAAAUGAAAUAUUCAAGUUAUUUUGGAUGGUUGCGCAUUUUACAAACGAUCCGAUUGAAGUCUACCUGGUUGAUAUUGCGGCUUAUGCUUCUCUCCAAGAGAUCAGUUAGGUUUUUUACAAGGCGGUCAAGUAUAUGAUGUUGCUCAUGCUACCAAGCCUGAACACUUUCUGAAGCACAGUUACAAUAGAUGUAGCCAUGUAGGCAGUCCUGGCUUUGUUCUAAACAGAUGCUAAUGGGAGGAGGUGGAUAUUUUUCAGCUGAUGGUUUUAGAAAAUGAAUAUACUCACGCCGUUGUAUGUUUUUUUACACACGUAGCUUCUUCGUACUCCAAUUAUCAACAGUAGCUAAUCGCAUGUUUGUAAAAUGUUUUAACAUGCCUUGCUUGAACAUUCAGUGCCUUUGUUUUGCUUUCACGUUAAUAAAACAAGAUUUAAUUAUUUGUUGUGAGCGGAUCAUAGGAGUCUUGAACGAGUACCCUGAAGUUCAACCGUUUUCAUCAUUCGGCUUAAUCUAUAACUAGAUUGCCUUAUUUAGAAUCCUUGAUACCAUAAGGUGGAUAGGAUUGCGGUGAUACUUUGCUCUCUACAGGCUCUUUGAAGGCUUUGUUUUCGAUGUAGUUGCGGGCAUUGAACAUGAGUGUUUUGAUUAGAAAACAUGAUAAUGAUUUUGUUAAAAUGUAGUAUUUUAUCAUUCCAUCUGGAGUUCCAGGAAUGUCUAACUUGCAUGUCAAGCCUACUUUGAAUGUUAAGCCUUCUUUGAUGUGGCAGGCAGGUAUCAUCAAGGCCUUAAGAAAUGGGUUUAAGUAGGAAAUUUUGCAGUUGUUGAGAAGUGCUACAAUCAUGAAGCCAAAAUUGAUUGUUAUUGGUGCAAUUGCUUAUGCUUGAUUAUAUGUCUAUGCCGGAAUUUUCCAAUCAUCUCUACAAACUUUUGCAUAUGGAAAUGUAAUGCUUGUAGCUGCUUGUGAUCAUGAGAAGGUAUCUUUGAGUCCUGAUCUGAUUUGGUUAGGCUAUGUAAUGAUUUUGUGAUU
rnacentral:lncRNA from 1 species